AUACUUCUUUUGAGCUCUCCUGGUCAGCACCAGCAGACUGAGUUGAGGUUGCUGCUUAGUCAGUGGUAGCUGGGAACUAACAGGCAUUGUGUAGGGCCUCAGAUACCGUCGUGGCAGCGCCAGAUAGGUGGUUAUUGAUAAGUGGUUACCUUCAACCUUCACACCCCGGCCAUGCGGAUAGCGUGCUUGGCUCGUCUAAGGGAUGGAUGGGCAGUCUUGAAGAACACAUGGACAUUAUGUACGUGGGCACUGUGUCCAGAGUCAGAGCGCGAGGAUCACUUGAGCAACAGCAUCUCUCACAGACGUGAACAGCAGCGGUAGAACACUGGUGACGGAACAAAGACGUCGCUGGGACGAUGGUUCUGGGACUACCAAAGAGACAGGGAGGAGGUAAGUCAAGACCUUAUUAAUGGUGGAAAAUUGAUCAUAUUAGAAAAGGUGUAUUAUUAUUAUUAGAUCAUAUUAGAUCAUAUUAGAAAAGGUGUAUUAUUAUUAUUAGAAAAGAUGUAUUAAUAUGUAUUAAUCAUAUUAGAAAGGUGAUUUUGUUCUUAGAGUAGACAAGGAUAGAGAUGAUUACGUUAGCUAGCCGUGAUUAAGCCACAUUUAAAACUGAGCUAAUUAAACUGUGUUUUCAUGCCUCUCUUGAUAUGGAAAAGACCAAAAAUUAUUGACAAAUACAGCGAGAAGUGAGAGCAACGCACUACUUGCCUACAUCCGUGCCAGUCAUGUAUAUUAAAAGGGUGUAUGGAAGACUGCAGGCUAUUGGAGUUACCUUUCUGCAGACUUAAGGAGCAUGGCAUGA
rnacentral:lncRNA from 1 species